CAACCUGGGGCGGGGUCAAUGGAAGGGCGGAGUCAAUGGGGGGCGGAUCCCUCCCACCUAAAAGCUCUGGUUUCCCCGACAGUGUCGUUAGGGAUGGGAGGCGGACUGCUUGCCAAUCUGCAGUGUCACUGAUCUUUCUAAUCCUAAGAGUGGUAGGAGGAGGAUGUCUCACAAAACAACCAGAAAAUGGAAAGUAAAUUAAUGCUAGUUCUGUGCUGCCACAAUUGACCAAAGCAGAUCAAAGGAAAGAUUUUUAACAUAUUUUAAUAUGAAAUGUAAGUCUGAAUCAGAAAAAUGUUGGCAAGAUAUUUGGAUAUGUUACUAGUGUUAAUGAAGUGGUUUUGUAUUCAAUAGACUCUUUUCAAAACUA